rnacentral:rRNA from 1 species
GAUGAACGCUGGCGGCGUGCUUAACACAUGCAAGUCGAACGAAACACCUUAUUUGAUUUUCUUCGGAACUGAAGAUUUGGUGAUUGAGUGGCGGACGGGUGAGUAACGCGUGGGUAACCUGCCCUGUACAGGGGGAUAACAGUCAGAAAUGACUGCUAAUACCGCAUAAGACCACAGCACCGCAUGGUGCAGGGGUAAAAACUCCGGUGGUACAGGAUGGACCCGCGUCUGAUUAGCUGGUCGGUGAGGUAACGGCUCACCAAGGCGACGAUCAGUAGCCGGCUUGAGAGAGUGAACGGCCACAUUGGGACUGAGACACGGCCCAAACUCCUACGGGAGGCAGCAGUGGGGAAUAUUGCACAAUGGGGGAAACCCUGAUGCAGCGACGCCGCGUGAGUGAAGAAGUAUUUCGGUAUGUAAAGCUCUAUCAGCAGGGAAGAAAAUGACGGUACCUGACUAAGAAGCCCCGGCUAACUACGUG